rnacentral:lncRNA from 1 species
GCCAUCCACAAUCUAACAAAGAAGUAGAGGUAACAAACUAAACAAUUUUACAUGAUCUCAAAACUAGACUGAAUGAAGCCAAAGAUCUCUGGAUGGAAGAACUGUAUCCGAUCUUAUGGACAUAUCGAAUAACUCCUUACAUACUAACUGAAGAAUCAUCAUUCAAUCUAGUCUAUGAAAUAGAAGCGAUGAUCCCACU